rnacentral:tRNA from 1 species
GGGGGUGUAGCUCAGUGACAGACCAUCUGCUUUGCAUCCAAAAGGUCCCAGGUUCAAUCCCUGACAUCUCCC